rnacentral:lncRNA from 1 species
GUUCAUCCUAACAAUAUACGAUGGAGAUUCUGUUUGGGAGUAUCUGAGAAGACAGGAAUCACACGUGAUACCUGGAGCUGCAGCAGCCGUCUUAUGACCUAAGGCAACAAACAGCAAACUAAGCAGAAAAGAGAAUGUUAGAGGGAGCCUGGAUCCUUCAUGGCAUUGUUGAGCUGCUAGACCACCCUAAGGCAGCCCACCUCCAUUCUCUUUUUAUUAAGAAAAUCAUUAAUGUCUGUAUGGUUUAGGCCACAGUCACUUGCUGCUAACAUCAUUCCACACUGGUACAGGAGGCUUUUCCCCUCCCUAGGCUGGGAUGCCUCAACAUCAGAAGCUCAGAAGUAUAGCCUCACCGUCCUGGGUCUUUAUGGUUCCCAACCUUAAGCCAGGACAGAACUUGGUCCACCUCGUGGUCACACAAGUUCCACUGCUUCCACCUCUGCCACAGCUAGUAAGCAGCUGGUUUACUUACUAUGCCUAGUAAGUAUAUAAACCUGCUGAAACCCCAGGUGGGUUAGCUGGAGUUUCCUCCACUUCCAAUCACCUGCAUAGAACCACAAUCCCAGCACUGACUUCAUGACAGCAGCCUGAGGUGAGACUGCACUCACCCUCUCUGUUCCACUCCCACUUUGAAAUCCUAGAUACCAAACAGGCUACCUUCUCCCCGCCUCCCACAGGCCUCCAGCCUCAGCCAACACUCACUGCUGUGGAACUCUGGUCCUAGACUUCCCACUUUUCCUUUAGCACAGCUAUGCAGCUCUAACUUUUGUUUCUAAGUUGUCCCUAAUUUGUGUAUGUAUGGAACAGAACUUUCCACAUCUACUCAUUUUGACACCUUGCCUGAAAGCUAUCCCAAUGCAUUUUUAACUGUUAUAUUUGGGCUUUUUACAAAUAGGCCUACUCUUGUAAAAAUUUAGAAGCACAGAGAAAUGUAAAAAUAAAAAUCAACAUUAACCCGCCACCACUAUUAACAUUAAGAUACAUUUCUUUCUAGUCUUUUUCU